CUCUUGACUAUCCCUGAGAUGUAUGAAUCUGGAAAGUCUACUUCUUUACAUAACAUACUGAAAUUGUCAUCUCAACAAUAACAAUUAUCAAUAUGACCCUUCGGAUUCCUGAUUUUCUCCAGAGUCAAAAUGGCAAUGAGGCAAAUGUUUUGAAAAGACUCAAGACAUCGAGGCAACCUUAACAGCACCACCAAAGACACUCACACAAGCAGACCUCCAGAGCUGCUUCAGAAAAUGUCAAGAACGUGAUAGUAAGCAUUUUGGAGCCACCACACCAAGGCAUCAGAAGAGUUAAUCCCUGGUUCUGCCUGCAGUGAAAUCGUCAGCAGAGAGAUGAGCUUGUUGCCAUGGGAAGGAAAGACCAGAACGAUCAU